UGCGAACGGGUGAGUAACGCGUAGGUAACCUGCCUGGUAGCGGGGGAUAACUAUUGGAAACGAUAGCUAAUACCGCAUAAAAUUGAUUAUUGCAUGAUAAUUGAUUGAAAGGUGCAAUUGCACCACUACCAGAUGGACCUGCGUUGUAUUAGCUAGUUGGUGAGGUAACGGCUCACCAAGGCGACGAUACAUAGCCGACCUGAGAGGGUGAUCGGCCACACUGGGACUGAGACACGGCCCAGACUCCUACGGGAGGCAGCAGUAGGGAAUCUUCGGCAAUGGGGGGAGCCCUGACCGAACAACGCCGCGUGAGUGAAGAAGGUUUUCGGAUCGUAAAGCUCUGUUGUAAGAGAAGAACGGGUGUGAGAGUGGAAAGUUCACACUGUGACGGUAUCUUACCAGAAAGGGACGGCUAACUACGUGCCAGCAGCCGCGG
rnacentral:rRNA from 1 species